CCGUCCCACUGAAAGAAAAUGCCACACACAACUACACAGUGACACUAACUAAUGCAGUUUUGAGCCGCAUGCAACAGUACCCAACCUUUGAAUCGGCAAAACAGGCACUAGUGUUCAAGGCUCAGCCGGCCCGCUCAACAACGUAUGGUGAGAAGCCCACCCUUGCCGAUGCUGUUAAGCAACACAGAGCCAGGUUCAACAUUUGAGGGACCCCGUGGUGACUCUGAAGCCGGCCCCAGUCUUCUUUGAAAGUCCUCAUUUGUCACCUCUCUUCAAAGAAGACAAGAAAAAAACGGCCCUUAUCAGGGCCACCCAAAUGUCUUCAACAGAGCCCAGUGCUGCGUUAU